rnacentral:rRNA from 1 species
AUGCUGGAGGUAUCAGAAGUGCGAAUGCUGACAUAAGUAACGAUAAAGCGGGUGAAAAGCCCGCUCGCCGGAAGACCAAGGGUUCCUGUCCAACGUUAAUCGGGGCAGGGUGAGUCGACCCCUAAGGCGAGGCCGAAAGGCGUAGUCGAUGGGAAACGGGUUAAUAUUCCCGUACUUGGUGUUACUGCGAAGGGGGGACGGAGAAGGCUAUGUUGGCCGGGCGACGGUUGUCCCGGUUUAAGCGUGUAGGUGUGUGUUCCAGGUAAAUCCGGUUCACUUUAACACUGAGGCGUGACGACGAGGCACUACGGUGCUGAAGCAACAAAUGCCCUGCUUCCAGGAAAAGCCUCUAAGCAUCAGGUAACAUCAAAUCGUACCCCAAACCGACACAGGUGGUCAGGUAGAGAAUACCAAGGCGCUUGAGAGAACUCGGGUGAAGGAACUAGGCAAAAUGGUGCCGUAACUUCGGGAGAAGGCACGCUGACAUGUAGGUGAAGUGAUUUACUCAUGGAGCUGAAGUCAGUCGAAGAUACCAGCUGGCUGCAACUGUUUAUUAAAAACACAGCACUGUGCAAACACGAAAGUGGACGUAUACGGUGUGACGCCUGCCCGGUGCCGGAAGGUUAAUUGAUGGGGUCAGCGCAAGCGAAGCUCCUGAUCGAAGCCCCGGUAAACGGCGGCCGUAACUAUAACGGUCCUAAGGUAGCGAAAUUCCUUGUCGGGUAAGUUCCGACCUGCACGAAUGGCGUAAUGAUGGCCAGGCUGUCUCCACCCGAGACUCAGUGAAAUUGAACUCGCUGUGAAGAUGCAGUGUACCCGCGGCAAGACGGAAAGACCCCGUGAACCUUUACUAUAGCUUGACACUGAACAUUGAGCCUUGAUGUGUAG